rnacentral:rRNA from 1 species
ACCUGAGAGUAGAGUCUCAUUUAAUCGAAGUCUAUAGUCUUAUCAUGUGACCAAGUCUUUAGUCUUAUUGAUGAUAGACCCACGUUGAACGACCGUCCCGUCAAUUUAAUCUAUAGAAUAAAAAGUAACAUAGAAAGAAUAAUGAAAAUGUUUAAUCACAAGUUCUGUUAGAAGACAACAACGUAAGGUCGUUCAAUCAAAUGUCGGCUUCUAUCAAAUAGGUUAGGUUUACUACGUCCAGCUUGUUUUGAAUACCGACCCCAUUUUUAUAAACACCACUAGUCGUAGAAGGAGAGCGAAACGACAAUUCUACAGCUGCGCCGCGAUGCGUUGCCUACUAAAUAUGAUGAUGGUACAAAAAAUACAACCCAGACUCUUUGAUCUCUUAAGUACGGAGAAACAGUACGGUUCUCAUAAGAUCCCUAAAGAAUACUUAUAUGACAUACAUUAUACCCUACCGAUAAAACUAAUUCUCUAGUUAAAAAUACGUCCAAAUAGAGGUGAGAAGAGUCGGACCCUUAGUAGUACACGAACGACUGGACGAGCCCGGUGUAGCGGCGACUUUGACGUUUGUCGGGGACGGACAGAACAGUGCACUAGAAACAUAAGAACGAACACUAUGACCUUCGACGUUAGCGGCGGCUACAUAAAGACUUAUCGAUGACCCUCCUCCUGUUUAGGGUGGUCUGAACCGAGAUUAACUUCAAUAGUAUUCUCAUUCGUUAGUCGUGAACAACACGACAAAAGACUAAGAUGACUCUUUGAGUUUUAAACGUCACAUUCUAGUUUGAAAACGAGCGUCUUAUAACUUACACGCGAUUUUUCAUACAUCUAAAUGAGUACUCCCGUCUUAGGACACUUAAAGAAAACUUAGCUAACGAGUU